rnacentral:rRNA from 1 species
UGAGGAAUAUUGGUCAAUGGGCGAAAGCCUGAUCCAGCCAUGCCGCGUGAGUGACGAAGGCCUUAGGGUUGUAAAACUCUUUCGUCGGGGACGAUAAUGACGGUACCCGAAGAAGAAGCUCCGGCUAACUUCGUGCCAGCAGCCGCGGUAAUACGAAGGGAGCUAGCGUUGUUCGGAAUCACUGGGCGUAAAGCGCACGUAGGCGGAUAGUUAAGUCAGAGGUGAAAUCCCGGAGCUCAACUUCGGAACUGCCUUUGAUACUGGCAAUCUAGAGUCCGGAAGAGGUUAGUGGAAUUCCCAGUGUAGAGGUGAAAUUCGUAGAUAUUGGGAAGAACACCAGUGGCGAAGGCGGCUAACUGGUCCGGUACUGACGCUGAGGUGCGAAAGCGUGGGGAGCAAACAGGAUUAGAUACCCAAGUAGUCCCUGAGCGGGCUGGCAAGGCGCAU